ACUCGUGUCGUGAGAUGUUGGGUUAAGUCCCGCAACGAGCGCAACCCUUGUCAUUAGUUGCUACAUUCAGUUGGGCACUCUAAUGAGACUGCCGGUGACAAACCGGAGGAAGGUGGGGAUGACGUCAAGUCCUCAUGGCCCUUAUAGGUGGGGCUACACACGUCAUACAAUGGAUGGUACAAAGGGUCGCCAACCCGCGAGGGGGAGCCAAUCCCAUAAAGCCAUUCGUAGUCCGGAUCGCAGUCUGCAACUCGACUGCGUGAAGUCGGAAUCGCUAGUAAUCGUGGAUCAGAAUGUCACGGUGAAUACGUUCCCGGGUCUU
rnacentral:rRNA from 1 species